rnacentral:rRNA from 1 species
AUACGAAGGGUGCAAGCGUUACUCGGAAUUACUGGGCGUAAAGCGUGCGUAGGUGGUUGUUUAAGUCUGACGUGAAAGCCCUGGGCUCAACCUGGGAACGGCGAUGGAAACUGGGCGACUAGAGUGUGGCAGAGGGUAGUGGAAUUCCUGGUGUAGCAGUGAAAUGCGUAGAGAUCAGUAGGAACAUCCGUGGCGAAGGCGGCUGACUGGGCAAACACUGACACUGAGGCACGAAAGCGUGGGGAGCAAACAGGAUUAGCUACCCUGGUAGUCCACGCCCUAAACGAUGCGAACUGGAUGUUGGGUGCAAUUUGUCACGCAGUAUCGAAGCUAACGCGUUAAGUUCGCCGCCUGGGGAGUACGGUCGCAAGACUGAAACUCAAAGGAAUUGACGGGG